rnacentral:lncRNA from 1 species
GAAACAUCUAGACCACAGGCAGGGCAUCUGAAGAGGGACAGAGAGACAAUUAGGGGCAGUGUGGCUCCCAAGAUCAAAAACACCACCAGAGUUAAGAGUGUCAGGCUACCGGACAUAUAAUCUGUCUGCAGGAAAAGUGUGUGUGGAUGCCACAGGCUGCAGAGGCAGGAUUAAGGAGUCGGCCUCUCUGAAGGUUCCUUGGAGCAGUUGAUUAAGCACGCACAGAUAGUCGUGUACGCACACGUUCGGUGUGGAGGCUGACGCUGCUCCCAUGUGCCCCGGCGACCGAACCCUCGCACCCAUCGCCUCAACGGCGGCCGCAGAGGCCCGUGGCAGCGUCAGGCUCCAGCAGGAAGCGUGCAGUCCAGCUCCACCAGGAAGUACGACGUCUCUGUCCUCAAUAUGCAACUCACUCUCUGGUCGACUUGGAACUCAGUCUGCAGUCGUCCUUAUCUGCGAGCCAGCGUUGCUGCCACUGAUCAGUUAGUCAGUGGUGCAUCAUAAUUCUGCCACAUUGGAUGGUACAGUUAUCAGCAUGCCAUAAUAGUGACUAUUAGUAAUCAAUACUUCCCACUCAGCAUCAGUGAUGUGGGAAGAUGCUGUAAGUUGGAGCUGCACAGACUCUGGCUCCAUGUUCAUGUACUGUACCUUUAAAGUGGCUGUCAUUGUGGUUCGUGGCACUUAUUCCAGGAAAGUCU